rnacentral:lncRNA from 1 species
AAGAUUCAAGCAUGGUAUAAACCUCUCUCGAAUGAAUCUCAACAAUCUUAUCAUUAUCCCCUAACCCAAUAGAUGUAAUCAAUUCCAAUGAAUCUUCCAGUCCAUUUUCUUCAUAAACAUCCAAAAUCCUCUCAUCAUCUUGCAAUGCACCUAUCUUGCGUAAUUGUCCUUCAAUAUUAUAUAAUCUUUUUCUUUCUUUUCUUUUAAAAUCAUCAACUUUCUUAUAUAUAAUAUUUCCAUUCUCCAAUAUACCAAUAAAACUCGCAUCAAAGGCACCUUCAUCUCGUGAGAGUACCUCCUCUUUUGUACCUCCAUAAUCUCGCUUUACAGUGGUACCUCCCCAAAAUCCUUAAAUCCUUCAACAAUCUU